rnacentral:rRNA from 1 species
AUUGAACGCUGGCGGCAGGCCUAACACAUGCAAGUCGAACGAAGCCUUCGGGCUUAGUGGCGGACGGGUGAGUAACACGUGGGAACGUACCUUUUGGUUCGGAACAACUCAGGGAAACUUGAGCUAAUACCGGAUGAGCCCUUACGGGGAAAGAUUUAUCGCCGAAAGAUUGGCCCGCGUCUGAUUAGCUAGUUGGUGAGGUAACGGCGAACCAAGGCGACGAUCAGUAGCUGGUCUGAGAGGAUGAUCAGCCUCAUUGGGACUGAGACACGGCCCAAACUCCUACGGGAGGCAGCAGUGGGGAAUAUUGGGCAAUGGGCGCAAGCCUGAUCCAGCCAUGCCGCGUGAGUGAUGAAGGCCUUAGGGUUGUAAAGCUCUUUUGCCCGGGAAGAUAAUGACGGUACCGGGAGAAUAAGCCCCGGCUAACUUCGUGCCAGCAGCCGCCGUAAAAC